rnacentral:rRNA from 1 species
CGUAACGCGUAUACAAUCUACCUUUUGCUGAGGGAUAGCCCAGAGAAAUUUGGAUUAAUACCUCAUAGUAUAUAUGAAUCGCAUGGUUUAUAUAUUAAAGGUUACGGCAGAAGAUGAGUAUGCGUUCUAUUAGCUAGAUGGUGUGGUAACGGCACACCAUGGCAACGAUAGAUAGGGGCCCUGAGAGGGGGAUCCCCCACACUGGUACUGAGACACGGACCAG